rnacentral:ncRNA from 2 species
GCAAACAAUAGUCUUUCCGGCUAUUUGUUUAAGAGGGAAUCCGGUGAGAAUCCGGAACAGUACCCGCUACUGUAAACACCUUAAAAAGAGAAAUAUUCUAUCUACAUGCCACUGUCAGAAGGCGGGAAGGCCUUAUUUCUCGGGUGAAGUCAGGAAACCUGCCAAAAUAAACUUAUUGGA